GACGAACGCUGGCGGCGUGCUUAACACAUGCAAGUCGAGCGGUAAGGCCCUUUCGGGGGUACACGAGCGGCGAACGGGUGAGUAACACGUGGGUGACCUGCCCUCAGCUCCGGGAUAAGCCUGGGAAACCGGGUCUAAUACUGGAUAUGACCCCAUGACGCAUGUUGUGGGGUGGAAAGCCCUGUGCGGCUGAGGAUGGGCCCGCGGCCUAUCAGCUUGUUGGUGGGGUGAUGGCCUACCAAGGCGACGACGGGUAGCCGGCCUGAGAGGGCGACCGGCCACACUGGGACUGAGACACGGCCCAGACUCCUACGGGAGGCAGCAGUGGGGAAUCUUGCGCAAUGGGCGAAAGCCUGACGCAGCGACGCCGCGUGAGGGAUGACGGCCUGG
rnacentral:rRNA from 1 species